rnacentral:lncRNA from 1 species
AACCAAACAAUGUGGUCAAGAGUAUUGUAUUAGAGAAAGACCGUAUUGCAUUGUAAUCCUAAACUGAAUAGGUUGUCCACCUUUUCUGAUUAGCUUGGGUAACCAUGACAUACUGCUAGGUGUCACUCAUGGUUUGUGGAAGCCCUAAACGUGUAUAAUCACCAAAGGGAGAAUUGAAAGUAAGUUUCAAUUCACAAUCGAUUUGAAAGAGUUAUAAUCGCCCACUGCCUCGCUAAAAGGAACCUAAUGGAUCGUACACCGUGUAAGGUAGAGAUUGAAGAAACAACGGAGAUGAGUAAGGAUAAUUAAAUGGUUUAAUUAUUUAUGGCAAGGAUUAAUUAAUAUGUUAAUUAAUCAAAUGAAUAAAAUUCAUUAAAGACCUCGGGUUAGUUUUGGGGCUCAAAGCCUAAUGGGCUUCGAACGUCAAGCCCAUUGACUUAAGUUGUAUGACAACUUAAUGACUAAAUAUUCACAAAGGCCCAAAUAGCCCAAUAACACCCUAUGGCCGGCCAUAUUGAUAAAGGAGUGGGUUUUGGACUUAUUACAAGUUUGCCACUCCAAUGAAGGUAGGUAUAAAUAUGACUUUAUAGCCUUUUAUUUAUUAGGGUUUUCUUUUAGAGAAAAGAUGAGAACACAAUGUCUCUCCCUUUCUCUCUAAGAGGCCGGCCACCCUAGAGGAUUUUAGCUAGCAAUCUUACUUCCUCUAGGUCACUUAUCUCUUCUUCAAGUCCAUCCUUGGUGUGGAAAAAUUAGAGGUUCUCAACUUUGGGAACUUGGAGAAUCCUUUCAACCAUCCUCAUCAAAGAAAUCCAUGGAUCUAAGAAGUAAGGAAUGAAGGCCCUCUCCUUGGGUGAUUAGCCUUUGCUUAUGCAAAGAGGAAUCAACAAAGGUAUAAAAUCUCUCAACUCACUUUGUUCUUGAGUUGAGUUUUGGUUCACCUUUCUACUAGGUGAUAGGAGCAUAUUUAUGCGACUUAGUUAGCUUGUUUCUUGGCAUUUAUGUUGUUAGUUCGUAGUUAUUUUAG